CUGGAGUGCAGUGGCGCGAUCUCGGCUCACUGCAACCUUCAUCUCCCUGGUUCAAGUGAUUCUCUCGAGUCUCAGCCUCCUGAGUAGUUGGGAUUUCAGGCACGUGCCACCACACCCAGACCUGUUUCAGCCAGUCCUCAGUUUGGUCCUGUGUACAAGCCCUGCCUCCUACCUCAGUAGGGUAGGGCACUGGGCAGAACUGUGUGACUCCCAUUCCAGGCCCCAGCUCCUGGAGGACAUUUCGAACACACCGUGAGGGGGAAGGGAAGCUGCUGUGUUGAAGGUGCUUCUGGAAUAGUAUUUUCAUCUCGUCCACUUUUUUUUUUUUUUUUUUGAGACGGAGUCUCGCUCUGUCGCCCAGGCUAGAGUGCAGUUGCGCGAUCUUGGCUCACUGCGAGUUCCACCUCCUGGGUUCACGCCAUUCUCCUGCCUCAGCCUCCCAAGUAGCUGGAACUACAGGCGCCCACUACCACGCCCAGAGUCUCGCUCUGUCACCCAAGCUGGAGUGCAGUGGUGUGAUCUCGGCUCACUGCAGCCUUCACCUCCUGGGUUCAAGCAGUUCUCCUGCCUCAGCCUUCCGAGUAGAUGGUGUCAGGCCUCUGAGCCCAAGCUAAGCCAUCAUAUCCCCUGUGAUCUGCACGUAUACAUCCAGAUGGCCUGAAGUAACUGAAUAAUCACAAAAGGAGUGAAAAUGGCCUGUUCCUGCCUUAACUGAUGACAUUCCACCACAAAAGAAGUGAAAAUGGCCAGUCCCUGCCUUAACUGAUGACAUUACCUCGUGAAAUUCCUUCUCCUGGCUCAUCCUGGCUCAAAAGCUCCACCACUGAGCACCUUGUGACCCCCCACCCCUGCCAGCCAGAGAACAACCCCCUCUGACUGUAAUUUUCCUUUACCUACCCAAAUCCUAUAAAACAGCUCCACCCCAUCUCCCUUCGCUGACUCCCUUUUUGGACUCAGCCCUCCUGCACCCAGGUGAUUAAAAGCUUUAUUGCUCACACAAAGCCUGUUUGGUGGUGUCUUCACACGGACGCGAGUGAAAGAUGGGAUCACAGGCCCCCACCACCACGCCCAG
rnacentral:lncRNA from 1 species